rnacentral:rRNA from 1 species
CAAUAGCGUAUAUUAAAGUUGUUGCAGUUAAAAAGCUCGUAGUCGGAUUUUGGCAUCAUGCCGAACUGUCGGCCGAUUGGUUUGUACGGUUUGGCGGGUGCUCUCCUUCCGGAGGCUCGUUUCCUCUUUCAUUAGAGGGUUCGAUGGUUCCGGGUCUUUUACUUGAAAAAAUUGAGUUGUUCAAAGCAGGCCUAUGCUCUGAAUAGGUUAGCAUGGAAUAAUGAAUAGGACUUUGGUUCUAUUUUGUUGGUUUCUAGGACCGAAGUAAUGAUUAAUAGGGACAGUUGGGGGCAUUCAUAUUCCAUUGUCAGAGGUGAAAUUCUUGGAUUAACGGAAGAUGAACUUCUGCGAAAGCAUCUGCCAAGGAUGUUUUCAUUGAUCAAGAACGAAAGUUAGGGGAUCGAAGAUGAUUAGAUACCAU